GAAUGAUCUUCUCUAUCUCAACCGCAGGCGAGUUCCAAAUGAUGGGAAGAUGGUUAGGGGACAACUACCCUUCUCUGAUGUGGAUGUUGAAGAAGUUCAGGUUAGCAUGUAAUCCACUGGAUCAUCUAUUGGCUACCAUGCUUCUGAAACUUACGCAUUUUCUUUGCUCAACCUCGAAUUAUUGUUACUGAAAAAUCACCUCAGGAGAGUAUUUUCUCGGCUGUUGGGAGGUAUACAUGUUUGUUAGCAUGAUUAAUUGUGGAUGCAAUGUUGAAGACUGAUAUUAUCUAUGUUGUAGUGUGAAAUCAAUGAGUAAAUGCUAUCAACAAGGAAUUGUUAUCUCUAUCGGCAAAUCAUCAAGGAUUGAGAUCCUUUGCUAAGAAGAUAUGUAUAUGAUCUAUUUACCUCUAUAUGAAUACUAAACAUUGAUGAGCCA